AUGGCUCCACACCUAACUCCUUUCACACGGGCAUCUACCAUGACAAAUCCACGACAGUUGGCGCCCAUGGGGCCAGAGCACAGUGGUUUCGAGUUCUUGAAGGGCAAUUUCCCAGGGAUCAAGGGAUACGCUGUGGGCCGGAUGACUAAGAGUCACCACGGCAAGAUCUACAUCGACAACGCUGGCUGGGGCCCUGAGGCCGACUCAAUUGAGUACGGGUACCGGGUCCCCUUUGGCGGGAUUCACGUCUUCAUCGGCAAGAUCGGCGAGUCAGAGCCUGAGCUGGACAUCUGCAUCGACAUCAUCUAG
rnacentral:rRNA from 1 species